rnacentral:rRNA from 1 species
CAGUAGCCGCGGUAAUACAGAGGGUGCAAGCGUUAAUCGGAAUUACUGGGCGUAAAGCGCGCGUAGGUGGUUUGUUAAGUUGGAUGUGAAAGCCCCGGGCUCAACCUGGGAACUGCAUCCAAAACUGGCAAGCUAGAGUACGGUAGAGGGUGGUGGAAUUUCCUGUGUAGCGGUGAAAUGCGUAGAUAUAGGAAGGAACACCAGUGGCGAAGGCGACCACCUGGACUGAUACUGACACUGAGGUGCGAAAGCGUGGGGAGCAAACAGGAUUAGAUACCCGGGUAGUCCCUGUCUCUUAUAC